rnacentral:rRNA from 1 species
UACAGAGGGUGCAAGCGUUAAUCGGAAUUACUGGGCGUAAAGCGUGCGUAGACGGUUAUGUAAGUCGGGUGUGAAAGCCCCGGGCUCAACCUGGGAAUGCCAUUCGAGACUGCAUAGCUAGGGUGCGGAAGAGGGAAGCGGAAUUUCCGGUGUAGCGGUGAAAUGCGUAGAUAUUCGGAAGAACACCAGUGGCGAAGGCGGCUCACUGGCCCGUUACCGACGCUCAGGCGCGACAGCGUGGGGAGCAAACAGG